rnacentral:rRNA from 1 species
CCUUGAAAUACCACCCUUUAAUGUUUGAUGUUCUAACGUUGGCCCCUGAUCGGGGUUGCGGACAGUGUCUGGUGGGUAGUUUGACUGGGGCGGUCUCCUCCUAAAGAGUAACGGAGGAGCACGAAGGUUGGCUAAUCCUGGUCGGACAUCAGGAGGUUAGUGCAAUGGCAUAAGCCAGCUUGACUGCGAGCGUGACGGCGCGAGCAGGUGCGAAAGCAGGUCAUAGUGAUCCGGUGGUUCUGAAUGGAAGGGCCAUCGCUCAACGGAUAAAAGGUACUCCGGGGAUAACAGGCUGAUACCGCCCAAGAGUUCAUAUCGACGGCGGUGUUUGGCACCUCGAUGUCGGCUCAUCACAUCCUGGGGCUGAAGUAGGUCCCAAGGGUAUGGCUGUUCGCCAUUUAAAGUGGUACGCGAGCUGGGUUUAGAACGUCGUGAGACAGUUCGGUCCCUAUCUGCCGUGGGCGCUGGAGAACUGAGGGGGGCUGCUCCUAGUACGAGAGGACCGGAGUGGACGCAUCACUGGUGUUCGGGUUGUCAUGCCAAUGGCACUGCCCGGUAGCUAAAUGCGGAAGAGAUAAGUGCUGAAAGCAUCUAAGCACGAAACUUGCCCCGAGAUGAGUUCUCCCUGAGACUUUAAGUCUCCUGAAGGAACGUUGAAGACGACGACGUUGAUAGGCCGGGUGUGUAAGCGCAGCGAUGCGUUGAGCUAACCGGUACUAAUGAACCGUGAGGCUUAACCUUACAACGCCGAAG